UACAGAGGGUGCGAGCGUUGUCCGGAAUCACUGGGCGUAAAGGGCGCGUAGGUGGCGGCCCAAGUCCGUGGUGAAAGCUCGCCGCUUAACGGCGAGUCGGCCACGGAGACUGGGUGGCUCGAGCACUGUAGGGGCAGAUGGAAUUCCAGGUGUAGCGGUGAAAUGCGUAGAUAUCUGGAGGAACACCGGUGGCGAAGGCGGCAUCCUGGACCGAUACUGACGCUGAGGAGCGAAAGCCAGGGGAGCAAACGGG
rnacentral:rRNA from 1 species